UUAAACUAAGAAUAUAAGGGUAGAGCUUUAUAUUCAAAAAUUAAUUAAAGAUGAAUUGAUAAUUAAUUAUUUAUAAAUUAGGCUUUUUAGUGGCCAAAUUUUUAAAGUAUUUUAACUAGUAAAAUAAAAAAGAUUUUAUUUUUAUUUCUCUUGAUUAUUUAAUAGAAUAUUUUUUUAUAACAAAAGUAGAUUAGUAAUAAUGAAAAUAUUAGUAGAAUUUAGAUAUUAUUAUUUUAAAAUAAUUAAUUUGGAAAUAUAUUUUAAUAAAAAUAGAAAGAAAAAUUAAAGGAAUUCGGCAAAAUUUUUUCUUGCCUGUUUAACAAAAACAU
rnacentral:rRNA from 1 species